rnacentral:rRNA from 1 species
CCUACGGGAGGCAGCAGUGAGGAAUAUUGGUCAAUGGGCGCGAGCCUGAACCAGCCAAGUCGCGUGAGGGAAGACGGUCCUAUGGAUUGUAAACCUCUUUUGUCGGGGAGCAAAAGACGCCACGCGAGGCGUUCCGAGAGUACCCGAAGAAAAAGCAUCGGCUAACUCCGUGCCAGCAGCCGCGGUAAGACGGAGGAUGCGAGCGUUAUCCGGAGUUGUUGGGUUUAAAGGGUGCGCAGGCGGAAGAUCAAGUCAGCGGUAAACUUGCGCGGCUCAACCUCUUCGAGCCGUUGAAACUGGUUUUCUUGAGUGAGUGAGACGUCUGCGUAAUGCGUGGUGUAGCGGUGCAAUGCAUAGCUCUCACGC